GAUGAACGCUGGCGGCGUGCCUAAUACAUGCAAGUCGAGCGAAUGGAUUAAGAGCUUGCUCUUAUGAAGUUAGCGGCGGACGGGUGAGUAACACGUGGGUAACCUGUCCAUAAGACUGGGAUAACUCCGGGAAACCGGGGCUAAUACCGGAUAACAUUUUGAACCGCAUGGUUCGAAAUUGAAAGCCGGCUUCGACUGUCCCUUCUGGAUGGACCCGCGUCGCAUUAGCGAGUUGGUGAGGUAACGGCUCACCAAGGCAACGAUGCGUAGCCGACCUGAGAGGGUGAUCGGCCACACUGGGACUGAGACACGGCCCAGACUCCUACGGGAGGCAGCAGUAGGGAAUCUUCCGAAAUGGACGAAAGUCUGACGGAGCAACGCCGCGUGAGUGAUGAAGGCUUUCGGGUCGUAAAACUCUGUUGUUAGGGAAGAACAAGUGAUAGUUGAAUAAGCUGGCACCUUGACGGUACCUAACCAGAAAGCCACGGCUAACUACGUGCCAGCAGCCGCAGUAA
rnacentral:rRNA from 1 species